AAAUUUUAUUCUACAAAAAAAUAAAUCUAAUUAAAAAAAUAUUUUAAUUUUUAUUUUUUUUUCACUAUUUUUUUUUUUUUUUUUUUUUGUAAAAAUUAGCAUAAAAAAUUGCUUUGUCGUACAGAACAGGUAUUAUAUCCUUUGUAAGCGUUUAAAUUAUCGCUUUGUUUGCAGUUAAUUGGCUUUAUUAUUGUUAUUCGUAUUGAUGUCAUCUACAGGUAAACGAUGUCAUUAGAGCCAUCGCCACGCGAAAAUAAUUGCUACAGUUUAAACACGAAGAAUGUCAUCAAACAAAAAGAAGUUUUUUAUACAGAAUUCAUGCAAAACUCUUCUCCUUUCAAGACUCCCGACAAGCUGCAAAAUGAUAAAACUCUUAACGUUAUUAUUGGUGGAAAGAAGAACCAUUACGUUGCAUGUCUUUCAGAAACUAUUUUGUAUCGGUUUCCUUUAAGUAUCCGACGUCCAUUAAAUAUGUUCUUGGUCUUUUCCUAAUUAUAGUACAGAUGUUACCUUAUGGCUGGUAAUGGUAACUCCCCCUUAUCGGCAAUCUUCGCUUGUAAAGGUAAUUGCCAUUUUGGAAAUUCGGUCAGAUCAAAUCACCUGAACCGGAACCAAUCAAAGAAUAAUGAAAGUUCUCCUAGAAUAAUAUGAUAACAUAAAAAUGGUAUAAAAACCCAUUUCUAUAGUCUUAACUAAAGUAUAAAUUGAGUAUUCUGUUUUAU
rnacentral:lncRNA from 1 species